rnacentral:rRNA from 1 species
GGUUACUGCUAUCGAGGUUCGACUAAGCCAUGCGAGUCGAAUGUAGCAAUACAUGGCGUACUGCUCAGUAACACGUGGACAACCUACCCUUAGGCCUGGGAUAACCCCGGGAAACUGGGAAUAAUACCGGAUAUCUCGCGAAUGCUGGAAUGCGUCGCGAUAGAAAGCUCCGGCGCCUAAGGAUGGGUCUGCGGCCUAUCAGGUAGUAGUGGGUGUAACGUACCUACUAGCCUACGACGGGUACGGGUUGUGAGAGCAAGAGCCCGGAGAUGGAUUCUGAGACACGAAUCCAGGCCCUACGGGGUGCAGCAGGCGCGAAAACUUUACAAUGCUGGAAACAGCGAUAAGGGGACCUCGAGUGCCAGGAUACAAUCCUGGCUGUCGUAAUGCCUAAAAAGCAUUGCAUACAAGGGCCGGGCAAGACCGGUGCCAGCCGCCGCGGUAACACCGGCGGCUCGAGUGGUAACCGCUAUUAUUGGGUCUGAAGGGUCUGUAGCCGGCUGACUAAGUCUCUUGGGAAAUCUGACAGCUUAACUGUCAGGCUUUCAGGAGAUACUGAUCGGCUCGAGACCGGGAGAGGUGAGAGGUACCUCAGGGGUAGGGGUGAAAUCUUGUAAUCCUUGAGGGACCACCAGUGGCGAAGGCGUCUCACCAGAACGGAUCUGACGGCAAGGGACGAAAGCUAGGGGCACGAACCGGAUUAGAUACCCGGGUAGUCCUAGCCGUAAACGAUACUCGCUAGGUGUCGGCCACGUAGCGACCGUGGUCGGUGCCGUAGGGAAGCCGUGAAGCGAGCCACCUGGGAAGUACGGCCGCAAGGCUGAAACUUAA